GCCUUCCUGGUCUAGUGGUUAUGAUGCCCUCCGCCAUUUCAAUGCGCUAACAACUCAUGGGUGGUUGAGGGAGACUCUGGUUCGAAUCCAGAGGAGGGCA